rnacentral:rRNA from 1 species
UGGGGAAUUUUGGACAAUGGGGGAAACCCUGAUCCAGCCAUCCCGCGUGUGCGAUGAAGGCCUUCGGGUUGUAAAGCACUUUUGGCAGGAAAGAAACGUCAUGGGUUAAUACCCCGUGAAACUGACGGUACCUGCAGAAUAAGCACCGGCUAACUACGUGCCAGCAGCCGCGGUAAUACGUAGGGUGCAAGCGUUAAUCGGAAUUACUGGGCGUAAAGCGUGCGCAGGCGGUUCGGAAAGAAAGAUGUGAAAUCCCAGAGCUCAACUUUGGAACUGCAUUUUUAACUACCGGGCUAGAGUGUGUCAGAGGGAGGUGGAAUUCCGCGUGUAGCAGUGAAAUGCGUAGAUAUGCGGAGGAACACCGAUGGCGAAGGCAGCCUCCUGGGAUAACAUUGACGCUCAUGCACGAAAGCGUGGGGAGCAAACAGG